rnacentral:rRNA from 1 species
GCGUGCUUAACACAUGCAAGUCGAACGAUGAACAGGAGCUUGCUCCUGGGAUUAGUGGCGAACGGGUGAGUAACACGUGAGUAACCUGCCCUUGACUCUGGGAUAAGCGUUGGAAACGACGUCUAAUACCGGAUAUGACCCCUACCGGCAUCGGUUGGGGGUGGAAAGAUUUUUUGGUCAAGGAUGGACUCGCGGCCUAUCAGGUAGUUGGUGAGGUAAUGGCUCACCAAGCCGACGACGGGUAGCCGGCCUGAGAGGGUGACCGGCCACACUGGGACUGAGACACGGCCCAGACUCCUACGGGAGGCAGCAGUGGGGAAUAUUGCACAAUGGGCGAAAGCCUGAUGCAGCAACGCCGCGUGAGGGAUGACGGCCUUCGGGUUGUAAACCUCUUUUAGUAGGGAAGAAGCGACUGAAUUUAUUCUGAGUGACGGUACCUGCAGAAAAAGCACCGGCUAACUACGUGCCAGCAGCCGCGGUAAUACGUAGGGUGCAAGCGUUGUCCGGAAUUAUUGGGCGUAAAGAGCUCGUAGGCGGUUUGUCGCGUCUGCUGUGAAAUCUGGGGGCUCAACCCCCAGCCUGCAGUGGGUACGGGCAGACUAGAGUGCGGUAGGGGAGAUUGGAAUUCCUGGUGUAGCGGUGGAAUGCGCAGAUAUCAGGAGGAACACCGAUGGCGAAGGCAGAUCUCUGGGCCGUAACUGACGCUGAGGAGCGAAAGCAUGGGGAGCGAACAGGAUUAGAUACCCUGGUAGUCCAUGCCGUAAACGUUGGGAACUAGAUGUAGGGGGCCAUUCCACGGUUUCUGUGUCGCAGCUAACGCAUUAAGUUCCCCGCCUGGGGAGUACGGCCGCAAGGCUAAAACUCAAAGGAAUUGACAGGGGCCCGCACAAGCGGCGGAGCAUGCGGAUUAAUUCGAUGCAACGCGAAGAACCU